CGAGAUCUGAUGGUUCUGAAAAGAGGAGUUCUCCUGCACAAGCUCUCUCUCUCUUUGCCUGCCGCCAUCCAUGUAAGAUGUGACUUGCUCCUCCUUGGCUUCUGCCAUGAUUGUGAGGCCUCUGCAGCCACAUGGGACUAUGGUGUUAGAAGUGGGGUCUGAAGUAGAGCCUCUAUAAGAACCCCAGGAGUGCUGAGUGAACAAGCAAGGUAUCUGCUGGAGCUACUUGUGUCCUUUGAUCUCUCAGCAGCUGGAGAUCAUGGUAAGUUCUCUCUCAGAUUUCAGAGCUCCAUGGAUUUGUGUUUUGAGCUCUCUAAGUUUCUUUGAGCAAAUUUCUGUUCCAAACUGGGUUUGGAAGUUGCGACAGAUAUUAGACUGGGUUCAGGAUGGGAUUUGAUCCAGUAAUUAACUGAUUUGGAUCCAGUAACAGGCCACUUACAUCUGACUGGGUUGGAGAUAAACUGGUAGUAAAUGGUAAUAUUGCAGGGGCUGUAAAAUUUGGCUUUUGAAAAUUCACAG
rnacentral:lncRNA from 1 species